GUUUUUGUAGUCUAAAAAGGAUAUGGUGUUGAAACCGCCAGGGUUAACGAGUUUACGAAAACA
rnacentral:tRNA from 2 species